rnacentral:rRNA from 1 species
GAUGAACGCUAGCUACAGGCUUAACACAUGCAAGUCGAGGGGAAACGACAUCGAAAGCUUGCUUUUGAUGGGCGUCGACCGGCGCACGGGUGAGUAACGCGUAUCCAACCUGCCCAUCACUUGGGAAUAACCUUGCGAAAGUAAGACUAAUACCCAAUGACAUCCCACGAAGACAUCUGAAUGGGAUUAAAGAUUUAUCGGUGAUGGAUGGGGAUGCGUCUGAUUAGCUUGUUGGCGGGGUAACGGCCCACCAAGGCAACGAUCAGUAGGGGUUCUGAGAGGAAGGUCCCCCACAUUGGAACUGAGACACGGUCCAAACUCCUACGGGAGGCAGCAGUGAGGAAUAUGGGUCAAUGGGCGAGAGCCUGAACCAGCCAAGUAGCGUGCAGGAUGACGGCCCUAUGGGUUGUAAACUGCUUUUAUAAGGGAAUAAAGUGGGUCUCGUGAGACUUUUGGCAUGUACCUUAUGAAUAAGGACCGGCUAAUUCCGG